UGGGGAAUCUUGGACAAUGGGGGCAACCCUGAUCCAGCCAUGCCGCGUGAGUGAUGAAGGCCUUAGGGUCGUAAAGCUCUUUCGCCUGUGAAGAUAAUGACGGUAGCAGGUAAAGAAACCCCGGCUAACUCCGUGCCAGCAGCCGCGGUAAUACGGAGGGGGUUAGCGUUGUUCGGAAUUACUGGGCGUAAAGCGCACGUAGGCGGACCAGAAAGUUGGGGGUGAAAUCCCGGGGGCUCAACCCCGGAACUGCCUCCAAAACUAUUGGUCUAGAGUUCGAGAGAGGUGAGUGGAAUUCCAAGUGUAGAGGUGAAAUUCGUAGAUAUUUGGAGGAACACCAGUGGCGAAGGCGCCUAACUGGUCCGGUACUGACGCUGAGGAACGAAAGCGUGGGGAGCAAACAGGAUUAGAUACCCUGGUAGUCCACGCCGUAAAACGAUGGAGUGCUAGAUGUUGGGAUUUUCGGAUUUCAGUGUCGCAGCUAACGCAUU
rnacentral:rRNA from 1 species